rnacentral:rRNA from 1 species
UAACGGCGAGUGAAGCGGCAACAGCUCAAAUUUGAAAUCUGGCCCUCGCGGUCCGAGUUGUAAUUUGUAGAGGAUGCUUUGGGCGCGGCGCCUUCCGAGUUCCCUGGAACGGGACGCCAGAGAGGGUGAGAGCCCCGUACGGUUGGACGCCUAGCCUAUGUAUAGCUCCUUCGACGAGUCGAGUAGUUUGGGAAUGCUGCUCUAAAUGGGAGGUAAAUUUCUUCUAAAGCUAAAUACCGGCCAGAGACCGAUAGCGCACAAGUAGAGUGAUCGAAAGAUGAAAAGCACUUUGAAAAGAGGGUUAAAUAGCACGUGAAAUUGUUGAAAGGGAAGCGUUUGCGACCAGACCUUCUCCGGGGGGAUCAUCCGGUGUUCUCACCGGUGCACUCCCCUCGGUCUAGGCCAGCAUCGGUUUCCUUAGGGGGAUAAAGGCCUGGGGAACGUAGCUCCUUCGGGAGUGUUAUAGCCCCUUGCGUAAUACCCCUCGGGGGACCGAGGACCGCGCUUCGGCAAGGAUGCUGGCGUAAUGGUCGUCAACGA